UUCAUGGAACCUGAUUUAGGAUGACAAUGAACUUGAGGACAAAUGUAAAGAGAAAUGACACCAUUUGUUUUGUAAUUUUGGUAGCCAUGGAAACUAUAUAAUCCCUGAUUUUGUAAUUCCACUUUUUUUUUUGGCAGACUUUAAGAGAUGAUUUUGUUCACCACCCAGACAGCCAAUAUUUUCCUGGGACUUUAUUGGCAUGGUAACAACUUGGUCCGCAAUGUGCUGGGGCUGCCUGAUGUGGUUUUUGGAAGAAUCCUGGUCAAAGUUAUAUGUGUUUAUUCCUGAUGCAUGAAGCCAUUGCUGAAAGGAAAAUAGCUGUCAGGUUUUUGUGGGGACAUCUGUAUUGCUUGAGGUGAUUACUACCAACCAGAAAUAUUGGUUGGUGCUGAUUAUGAAUUCAGCAUCAGUUGUUGUUCUGGUCUUAUUAUUCUUUUCCGUCUGUGGAUAAUAUGGAACGUGCUUAGGGAUCUCAGCAAUCUAUUUUGUAUUUUAUACAAGUGGAUACAUUGUAACCCCUCAUUUGUCUGGGCUCGUUGAUUCAGGGUCCUUUCCAAAUAUAAUAAUGAUGCAUGUAUUCCAUGCUUAAAGAAAAUAAGGGAAUUUCACCAGGAUAGCUUUCAUUUUAAUUAGGGGCCAGCAGCAGGGAAAUGUGUGUGCUCUACCCAGUUUGCGACGUGCAACUUGUUUAACAUAAGAUGACAUGAUAUUCAACUUGGAUUGGGUGCAUCUUCCAAUGUGUAUGGCACUAAAUCGAACCAUACAAAGAUUCCGUAGAGGAAUCUAGGAAGUUUAUGAUUUGGUUUGCAUGCAUGAACCGCUGACUGUUUUUCGCUGCUUCACCCGUUUGCCUAUCUGCCAACAAAUGCUUAGGCAUGUGAAAAUUGAUCAAGCUUGUUCAUCCCUGUUACUAUAUUAAACUUUCAAGAGCUACAUACUGCAGCUCAAGGGCUCAGGGUAAAGGUUAUUGCAACUCAAUCUACACCAAUCUGUUUGAGAGGAGGGUUUAUGAACUCAUUUGUAUGCACAGAGAUGUCACAAGCCAAUGAACCGAAGUGAAAAGAAACAAUUCCACUGACAAGGUUACCCCAGUGUUUUGGCAAGUCAGUGUUGUCAAAUGCAUAAAAAGAGAUGAAUGGUGCACGUUUGAUCAGUGUUGUCAAAUGCAUAAAAAGAGAUGAAUAGUGUACGUUUGAACUGACUACGUUUCAACAAAAACAUUCUUUGUAGACCAGCUUGAAGCAGAGGAACAUAGGUGAUACUGGUUCUCCUGGUAAUAGCCCUAGCUCAUGCACCACCUGCCCUCCAACCAGCUUCACCACCUUGGUGGUCUUGUAGAUGUUUUUGGUACCAUUGGUGAUCAGCUUUAACGCAGCAUGAAUCUCAGAGUUGAGCUGCACAACUGCUUACCUGAUUGCAGUGCGGAGGGAUCAACAUUGUAUACCAGAGCACAUGUGUUUCUUCUUUCGUACUCAAGUUACACUUGUAGGCUAAUUCCAGCACUUAAAUCCUGUCUUCAGGGUGUACCCCAACUUUACCAGCGGACUGCAGAACUUCAGAUAUGAGCAUACAUGCUGUUGAGGUGGAGUGGUUGUCGAAGUAGAUUGUAUCACCUUGUAUUCCUGGUGUCUGCGGAGGCCAUCAUCUUCACUGCUGUGGUGCUUGUGUGCCAGCCUCAACGGUCUGGUCUGACCAAUGGUGUGGUGGUUUUGCAUAAAUGGAGCUGUGUAGUAGGGACUGGGUAUGUGAGCAGCAAUGACCUUUGGAGAAUGGAUCCUUAAUUCUUUGUGGCACUGCUGGAGCUUUAUGUUUGACGGUUGACGCUCAGGGCAGAGUCAGCUCUGCUACUCGGCGUCCACAACCAACCUGUGGACCUGCCAGUGGCAGAAUUGUGCACAGGAUUGCAGUGGGACCUGUUUGUUUUGUUACCUACAGAUGUGGGUAUGAAAUUCCAAGUAGACAAGUACCAGAAACGGUUGGUUGGAGAUGAGCUCGUGACUUCACCUGUGGACGGUGGUGCAGGUUGGUGCUCGUAAUACAAAGUAAUGCGUUGAUCCACCUAUCCCCAUUGACUAUUACCACGUAUGUAUAUUGGCAACUGUUUCAUGGUCGUUGGGUCUCAGCAAAUCUAUACAAUGGUCCUGCACGGUUACUCA